AUGAAAGACAGUCAUGGUAAC
rnacentral:piRNA from 1 species